AAGGCAUUUUUUCUUUUUUAAACACACACACAUACACACACGCACACCACUAAAAUUAAUAGUUGCAGCUGAAAAAACAGCCCAUCUACAGUACGUCAAAAUAUUAUUUAUAUUACCAUGUGAAUAUUGGCCGUUUAUUAAAUUAAUUUAUAUUCCUAAAUAAGUUUCAUUUGCCUACCGCAAGUUUUAACAGAUUAGGACAAACUACAAUUCCCAUCAUGCAUCGGAAACGAGAACAGUCCAAUCAAAAGAGGCAAUAUGUGACGUCACAUGUCUAUAUAACUGGAACUCUGCCUUUCGCGCUCUCUCUUCCUCUUCCAAAACUCCGUACGUGGCGUACAAAGAUUCGAGGACGAGACAUAUGUUGGGCUUAUGCGUCUGGCGACCAUAAAUCAAAGGGCGAAGAGUCUUCAGUGGCAUUCAGGUAAAUGACCAAUUGGUGUACUACUCACCUCUGGGUGGAAUAAUGUCAUGAAUGACUGUGUAUGCAUGCAAUCCUAAGGAACAAGCUUGUCUGUAGCUUGUGCCCUCCAAGUGCGUGCUAGAACAUGCGGGGCAGUCUUUGACUGUUCUGACGUUACCAUGGCAGCAGCGGCCACUCAGCUGUCCCACAGAUCAA